rnacentral:rRNA from 1 species
CCUACGGGAGGCAGCAGUGGGGAAUAUUGGACAAUGGGCGCAAGCCUGAUCCAGCAAUGCCGCGUGGAUGAAGAAGGUCUUCGGAUUGUAAAGUCCUUUCGGCGGGGACGAUGAUGACGGUACCCGCAGAAGAAGCCCCGGCUAACUUCGUGCCAGCAGCCGCGGUAAUACGAAGGGGGCUAGCGUUGCUCGGAAUGACUGGGCGUAAAGGGCGCGUAGGCGGACAUAUUAGUCAGGCGUGAAAUUCCUGGGCUUAACCUGGGGGCUGCGUUUGAUACGGUGUGUCUAGAGUGGGGAAGAGGGUUGUGGAAUUCCCAGUGUAGAGGUGAAAUUCGUAGAUAUUGGGAAGAACACCGGUGGCGAAGGCGGCAACCUGGUCCUUGACUGACGCUGAGGCGCGAAAGCGUGGGGAGCAAACAGGAUUAGAUACCCUGGUAGUCCACGCUGUAAACGAUGUGCGCUGGAUGUGGUCGAGCUACGCUGUCUAGUGUCGUAGCGACGCGAUAGCGCACCGCCGUCGGGAGGUACGGCCGCGAGGUUAGAACGUACGAAGUAAGUAAGUUAGUUACGGCGUGAGACGUGCCGACGGCGACGACGAGGGAGGUUAGG